AAAGGAGGCACAUCAGGACGGGUUGGCUCUUUACGCUAGGAAUCCCUAACUCACACUCACACAAAUCACACCAGCCACCGCCCACCGCAAGUGAAUAGGUUCUGGGCAAUCGAGAAGACCUGGUUUAAUUUUGUUGAGGUGGUUGAUAUUCAUUGUUCCUCUAGUUGAACAAAAUUUCGUCAACAUAAGCAGAAAGGCUAAGUAAAAGGCAAUGGUGGGUUCCAAGAACUCUUGGCUGGGGCUUCGUGAACUGAGGUUUUGAUGCUAGUUUGGUGGUAUUCUCAUUUAUACUGACUAC